GCCUGGGUGGCUCACUCGGUUGAGCACCUGACUUCGGCUCAGGUUCGUGAUCUCAUCAGUUGAUGAGUUCGAGCCCCGCCUCGGGCU
rnacentral:tRNA from 1 species